UGUAUCCGCUGUGGGUGGGACAGAAAGAUGCACUGUAAUCUGCAACCGAGCAAAGCUCUGUGCCGAGGCUCAUGUCGCACGCGGAACGGCUUGACCAGCCAGAGCCCGGGCAGGAGCCAAACCACCACCAGCAGCGGCCAGGACUAUUUGAAGAGAGAUGGUUUACGGCGCCUGUCGGUGAAAGCCUUGCGUGUGGUUAUUCCGCUUUUACUGUCACUGCAGCCAGCGCCUACGAGCCGCAUGCCGAGGCGCUCCCAAAGCCCGUCUCCGCUCUUGGCGGUUCGUGCUAGCGCAGCGAUGGCACCGCGCUGCGGGAAACAUGAAACUCCUCCGACGCGGCAGGGCGCCACGCGGGGCUGGAGCCGCCGGGUCCUGAUGCCAGACCGAAGUGUGUGCGUAUUCCCGGGUGCACGUGUUUCAAGGUCAAGGUUAUCGGGAAAUGUCCACAGUGGUGCUUCCCAUGGGAGCUGCAUCACACCUCUAUGCUGGAGGCUGAUCUAUGCCCAGACACUGGCCUGUAGCUCCGAAAGCCCGUGGGUGGCACGCCGGCGGCUCACCAGCCCGUGCACCCUGUCCUGUCCUGCCGGCGGUGGCCGGGCGAGGCCGGCGCUGGCAGAGCCGCGGCCCCCGGGGAGGACAUGGCAGAUAGAGCAGCCCUGGAGCUCUGCUGCCUCCCUGUUUGCCAGCUCUGCCAGCGUUUAUUCGCACACCCGUUGUGGCGAGAGGCUGCUCACGUGGCUUCACUUGCUUCCUGCCCUCAAAGAAUUUCAAUGUUUUGGUUUUUUAAAAAACACCACAAUUUGUUGAGUGGGAUUUUGUGUGUGUGUGUAUGUGGAUUUGUAUUUACAUGGGAAUAGCUAUUGAGUUAAGUGUGGUUUCGAACGUGUAGGAGCAGCCGGCUGUUCAUUGCUAUGUACAAGCUAGCAGCCAACACAGACAGCGCUGUAGUUGUCCAGCUGGUUUACGACCAGCGGACGAGGGCCGGUUGUGUCUGCCGCCCUUCCAUUGUGCCAGGAACGAGACGUGCUCAUUCUUUCCAUUAGCUGCAUCAUCAUUUAGUUUUACUAAAGCAAUAAAAACGUCCAAGGAGAAGGUUGUAAUAUCGCAGAAUGAGGGUGUGUGUAGUUCACUUCUACGUGUGUGAUUUACUUGUAUGUAACACGUACAAGAAAUUAAUCUCGAGUAGGGCUAAUCCAGCCCUCUGGCUGAACCUGGCUGGGAUUUCACCCAAGUCAGUUGUGUUCAUACGUAGUGGCUUGGCUUAGCGGGGUCUGGAACAAGGAACCGAGAACUUGCAGCAGCCCUUCUGCUUUCGCAGAUGUUUGGAGUCAGAGGAGUAUUUUCGUUCAUCUCCUGACCAGCGAGGAAA